rnacentral:rRNA from 1 species
GGUGAACGCUAGCGGCAGGCUUAACACAUGCAAGUCGAGGGGUAUAGGUUUUCGGACCUAGAGACCGGCGCACGGGUGCGUAACGCGUAUGCAAUCUACCUUUCACAGAGGGAUAGCCCAGAGAAAUUUGGAUUAAUACCUCAUAGUAUAGCAGUUUCGCAUGAAACCACUAUUAAAGUAUCAACGGUGAAAGAUGAGCAUGCGUCCCAUUAGCUAGAUGGUAAGGUAACGGCUUACCAUGGCUACGAUGGUAGGGGUCCUGAGAGGGAGAUCCCCCACACUGGUACUGAGACACGGACCAGACUCCUACGGGAGGCAGCAGUGAGGAAUAUUGGUCAAUGGACGCAAGUCUGAACCAGCCAUGCCGCGUGCAGGAUGACGGUCCUAUGGAUUGUAAACUGCUUUUGUACGAGAAGAAACAACAUUACGUGUAAUGUCUUGACGGUAUCGUAAGAAUAAGGAUCGGCUAACUCCGUGCCAGCCGCCGCUGUAACAC